CCUCCCUCAACCAAAUACAAAAAAAAAAAAAAGGCCAAACAUAACCACAACAACCAAAACUCAGAUGCGGGUUUUUAAAGAAAAAGAAACGUACGAAGCCUUCUUUCAAAAAUCCGAACAGUGGAGAGCGGCGGAAGAGGAUGAGGAACAACAUACUUUAAAAGCAAGCCAAUCAGACGGGUAGAACUGGAGAUCAGAGAAGGUAUAUUUCGAACUUUAGAACUUAGAAAGGAAUGUCGUAGAGUGUUCAACUUGGCUAAUCGGAGCUCCUGUGUGGGGGAGUACGGUGACACCGUCGCCAGAUUUUUUGCAUCAUGGGCGGCAGAGAUAAAAGAGAGGUAGAGAAUUUUUCUUCUAGUUUGAAGGUUAAAAAUGAAAUUAAAGAAAAAAAAACUUUUAUCAUGAAAGGGGUAAGACCCUACAGCCGCACCAUCACUUUUUUUUUCUUUUACAUUUUUUACUUUUUUAAGGAUUAAAUUACCCAAAAAUGUCGUUUUUUUUAAUUACUGAAAUAUAUCGAUUUUUGAAAUAUUUACGAGAAUAAGUCGAUUUAGAGAAAAACACUUUCAAUUAGAAGCUUUUUUAGGGGAAAUCUAGAAAAACGCUUCCAAGUGGAAGUGCCUUUUGCGUGUCACCAGUUAAACGCUUCCAACUGAAAAUAUUUUCCUCAUGUUAUAUUAGGGUUUUUAGUGUGUUAUGGUUUAGGGUUAAGGUUUUAAAGUAGGGUUUAGGGUUUUAAAUUUUAAAUUGAUAAAAAUUUUAACAUAAUAAUUUUGGAUGUUUCGUUUUUUGGGUAAUGGAGUUCGAUAGACUGUGUACACUUGAGAUAUAGGACUUGCGACUGUGGGAGAUUUGAUGCAUUUCGUUUUCCAUGCGCUCAUGCAAUUGCAGUGUGUAGAAAUUAAUGUUUGGGUUUUAUGAGUUUUGUGGACGAAGUGUACAAAUUAGAAAACUUGUAUAACGUGUGGAGACACGUAUUCCCACCAGUCCCAAAUGAACGUAUGUGGCUGUCUGUAUUGAGCGCUCUGUUUAAGUUGUUAUCUAAUAGGUCAUUACGUCACGAACCAAAAGGUUGAUCGACGCUGCCUCAAAUACUUGACAACAUGGAUAUUUGGAACAUGUCAAACCAAUCGAGGUUAUGUGGGUGGUGUCGAAAUUUGUGACAUACAAUGUUGUUAUGUCCACAUUGAAUGGACGAUGCAAACUAAAAGACAAAUAUCAAUUCUAUUGUAAUAUGUAAACGUGUGGUUCUAUAAAAUGAUAACAAUUAUCAACUUUCAUUUUGUG
rnacentral:lncRNA from 1 species